UGGGGAAUUUUGCACAAUGGGGGAAACCCUGAUGCAGCGACGCCGCGUGAUUAAGAAGGCCUUCGGGUUGUAAAAAUCUUUUCUAUGGGAAGAAAAUGACAGUACCAUAGGAAUAAGGACCGGCUACUUACGUGCCAGCAGCCGCGGUAAUACGUAAGGUCCGAGCGUUGUCCGGAAUCAUUGGGCGUAAAGGGUACGUAGGCGGGUAAGCAAGUUAGAAGUGAAAUCCUAUAGCUCAACUAUAGUAAGCUUUUAAAACUGCUCAUCUUGAGGUAUGGAAGGGAAAGUGGAAUUCCUAGUGUAGCGGUGAAAUGCGCAGAUAUUAGGAGGAAUACCGGUGGCGAAGGCGACUUUCUGGCCAUAACCUGACGCUGAGGUACGAAAGCGUGGGUAGCAAACAGG
rnacentral:rRNA from 1 species